rnacentral:rRNA from 1 species
GACGAACGCUGGCGGCGUGCUUAACACAUGCAAGUCGAGCGGUAAGGCCCUUUCGGGGGUACACGAGCGGCGAACGGGUGAGUAACACGUGGGUGACCUGCCCUCAGCUCUGGGAUAAGCCUGGGAAACCGGGUCUAAUACUGGAUAUGACUCCAUGACGCAUGUUGUGGGGUGGAAAGCCUUGUGCGGCUGAGGAUGGGCCCGCGGUCUAUCAGCUUGUUGGUGGGGUGANGGCCUACCAAGGCGACGACGGGUAGCCGGCCUGAGAGGGCGACCGGCCACACUGGGACUGAGACACGGCCCAGACUCCUACGGGAGGCAGCAGUGGGGAAUCUUGCGCAAUGGGCGAAAGCCUGACGCAGCGACGCCGCGU